UACAUAGGGUGCAAGCGUUGUUCGGAAUUAUUGGGCGUAAAGGGCGCGUAGGCGGCGCGGAUAGUCGGCGGUGAAAGCCCGGAGCUCAACUCCGGGUCGGCCGUCGAUACUUCCGGGCUUGAGCACUGUAGAGGCAGAUGGAAUUCCGGGUGUAGCGGUGGAAUGCGUAGAGAUCCGGAAGAACACCGGUGGCGAAGGCGGUCUGCUGGGCAGUUGCUGACGCUGAUGCGCGACAGCGUGGGGAGCAAACAGG
rnacentral:rRNA from 1 species